GACGAACGCUGGCGGCGUGCUUAACACAUGCAAGUCGAACGGAAAGGCCCUGCUUUUGUGGGGUGCUCGAGUGGCGAACGGGUGAGUAACACGUGAGUAACCUGCCCUUGACUUUGGGAUAACUUCAGGAAACUGGGGCUAAUACCGGAUAGGAGCUCCUGCUGCAUGGUGGGGGUUGGAAAGUUUCGGCGGUUGGGGAUGGACUCGCGGCUUAUCAGCUUGUUGGUGGGGUAGUGGCUUACCAAGGCUUUGACGGGUAGCCGGCCUGAGAGGGCGACCGGCCACAUUGGGACUGAGAUACGGCCCAGACUCCUACGGGAGGCAGCAGUGGGGAAUAUUGCACAAUGGGCGGAAGCCUGAUGCAGCAACGCCGCGUGCGGGAUGACGGCCUUCGGGUUGUAAACCGCUUUCGCCUGUGACGAAGCGUGAGUGACGGUAAUGGGUAAAGAAGCACCGGCUAACUACGUGCCAGCAGUCGCGGUGAUACGUAGGGUGCGAGCGUUGUCCGGAUUUAUUGGGCGUAAAGGGCUCGUAGGUGGUUGAUCGCGUCGGAAGUGUAAUCUUGGGGCUUAACCCUGAGCGUGCUUUCGAUACGGGUUGACUUGAGGAAGGUAGGGGAGAAUGGAAUUCCUGGUGGAGCGGUGGAAUGCGCAGAUAUCAGGAGGAACACCAGUGGCGAAGGCGGUUCUCUGGGCCUUUCCUGACGCUGAGGAGCGAAAGCGUGGGGAGCGAACAGGCUUAGAUACCCUGGUAGUCCACGCUGUAAACGGUGGGUACUAGGUGUGGGGUCCAUUCCACGGGUUCCGUGCCGUAGCUAACGCUUUGAGUACCCCGCCUGGGGAGUACGGCCGCAAGGCUAAAACUCAAAGGAAUUGACGGGGCCCCGCACAAGCGGCGGAGCAUGCGGAUUAAUUCGAUGCAACGCGUAGAACCUUACCUGGGUUUGACAUGGAUCGGGAGUGCUCAGAGAUGGGUGUGCCUCUUUUGGGGUCGGUUCACAGGUGGUGCAUGGCUGUCGUCAGCUCGUGUCGUGAGAUGUUGGGUUAAGUCCCGCAACGAGCGCAACCCUUGUUCACUGUUGCCAGCACGUUAUGGUGGGGACUCAGUGGAGACCGCCGGGGUCAACUCGGAGGAAGGUGGGGAUGACGUCAAGUCAUCAUGCCCCUUAUGUCCAGGGCUUCACGCAUGCUACAAUGGCUGGUACAGAGAGUGGCGAGCCUGUGAGGGUGAGCGAAUCUCGGAAAGCCGGUCUCAGUUCGGAUUGGGGUCUGCAACUCGACCUCAUGAAGUCGGAGUCGCUAGUAAUCGCAGAUCAGCAACGCUGCGGUGAAUACGUUCCCGGG
rnacentral:rRNA from 1 species